UAUAAAAUGCAAAUAACCCAGCAGGAGGCCA
rnacentral:piRNA from 1 species